rnacentral:rRNA from 1 species
GUCUACGGCCAUGCUACCCUGAACACGCCCGAUCUCGUCUGCUCUCGGAAGCUAAGCAGGGUUGAGCCUGGUUAGUACUUGGAUGGGAGACCACCUAGGAAGACCAGGUGCUGUAGGCA